UGGAAUGAGUACAAUGUAAAUACCUUAACGAGGAACAAUUGGAGGGCAAGUCUGGUGCCAGCAGCCGCGGUAAUUCCAGCUCCAAUAGCGUAUAUUAAAGUUGUUGCAGUUAAAAAGCUCGUAGUUGAACUUUGGGCUCGGUUGGCCGGUCCGAUUUUUUCGUGUACUGGAUUUCCAACGGGGCCUUUCCUUCUGGCUAACCUUGGGUCCUUGUGGCUCUUGGCGAACCAGGACUUUUACUUUGAAAAAAUUAGAGUGUUCAAAGCAGGCGUAUUGCUCGAAUAUAUUAGCAUGGAAUAAUAGAAUAGGACGUUUGGUUCUAUUUUGUUGGUUUCUAGGACCAUCGUAAUGAUUAAUAGGGACGGUCGGGGGCAUCAGUAUUCAAUUGUCAGAGGUGAAAUUCUUGGAUUUAUUGAAGACUAACUACUGCGAAAGCAUUUGCCAAGGACGUUUUCAUUAAUCAAGAACGAAAGUUAGGGGAUCGAAGAUGAUCAGAUACCGUCGUAGUCUUAACCAUAAACUAUGCCGACUA
rnacentral:rRNA from 1 species